AAGUCGUAACAAGGUUUCCGUAGGUGAACCUGCGGAAGGAUCAUUAAUUAUAUGUAAUAUCAAUUAUAUGAUUUAUAUAUCAAUUAGUCACGUAAUUGUUAUUUUAAUUAUAUAUAUAUAUGUAUUUAUUUAUUUAUUUAUAUAUAUAUAUAUAUGUUAUUUUACAAUUUAAUGACAUCCUUUUAAAAACUUUAUUUUCGAUAUCAUUAUUAUCAUUAUUAUUAAUUUUAUUAAUGAAAUCGAAAGUUAUAAUUCAGGGUUAAAAUCCUGAAUCAAAACUAAUGUUUAAAUUUUAAUUUAAAAUCAAAACUAUAUUCUUAUAUUAUUAAUUAAUUUUAAUUACUUUAAUAACUAAUAACAAUGGAUCUCUUGGCACU
rnacentral:misc_RNA from 1 species